AUUGAACGCUGGCGGCAGGCCUAACACAUGCAAGUCGAACGAGUGGGGGACGGGGUGGUAAGGGAUGGGAAAGUGCGUGAUGGAGGGGGAUGCGUAAUGGACACUGUUGCUACUACCGCAAAACACCGCAUGUGACGGUAUGGGAUUAGCUAGUAGGGGGGGUAAAGGCUCACAUAGGAGACGAUCCCUAGCUGGUCUGAGAGGAUGACCAGCCACACUGGAACUGAGACACGGUCCCGACGCCUACGGGAGGCAGCAGUGGGGAAUAUUGCACAAUGGGCGCAAGCCUGAUGCAGCAAUGCCGCGUGUAUGAAGAAGGCCUUCGGGUUGUAAAGUACUUUCAGCUGGGAGGCGUUACCCGCAGAAGAAGCACCGGCUAACUCCGUGCCAGCAGCCGCGGUAAUUC
rnacentral:rRNA from 1 species